rnacentral:rRNA from 1 species
CUUCUGAUCAGUGGCGAACGGGUGAGUAACACGUGAGUAACCUGCCCCAGACUCUGGGAUAAGCCUUGGAAACGAGGUCUAAUACCGGAUAAGCAGCACCACUGCAUGGUGAGUGUUGGGAAAGUUUUUCGGUCUGGGAUGGACUCGCGGCCUAUCAGCUUGUUGGUGAGGUAAUGGCUCACCAAGGCGACGACGGGUAGCCGGCCUGAGAGGGCGACCGGCCACACUGGAACUGAGACACGGUCCAGACUCCUACGGGAGGCAGCAGUGGGGAAUAUUGCACAAUGGGCGAAAGCCUGAUGCAGCGACGCCGCGUGGGGGAUGAAGGCCUUCGGGUUGUAAACCCCUUUCAGCAGGGAAGAAGCGAAAGUGACGGUACCUGCAGAAGAAGCGCCGGCUAACUACGUGCCAGCAGCCGCGGUAAUACGUAGGGCGCAAGCGUUGUCCGGAAUUAUUGGGCGUAAAGAGCUCGUAGGCGGUUUGUCGCGUCUGCUGUGAAAUCCCGAGGCUCAACCUCGGGCCUGCAGUGGGUACGGGCAGACUAGAGUGUGGUAGGGGAGACUGGAAUUCCUGGUGUAGCGGUGGAAUGCGCAGAUAUCAGGAGGAACACCGAUGGCGAAGGCAGGUCUCUGGGCCACAACUGACGCUGAGGAGCGAAAGCGUGGGGAGCGAACAGGAUUAGAUACCCUGGUAGUCCACGCCGUAAACGGUGGGC